CGGCAGCUGCUCUUGGGCAGGACAGAUACAAACCUGGUUUACCCUGCUGGAAGAGGAGCAUCAGAUCAUGCAUCUCAACAGGAGAAGUGGACUGUAGCAAGCUCUUUUCAGAAGAACUGAGUUGACGAAGCAGAUUUGUAAUGUACAGCUGAGGCAGCAUUAAAAAUACUUGGAGUAACAAUCUUUACCUCCCAAAAGCACAUCCUGGCAGUAUGUUUGAAGAUAAUCCUAAUGCUGCUUGAAUGACCUAAGGCAGUAGAGCUUGAGUGUGAGCCUAGCAUCUUGUAGCAGCAGGUCAUGUAGGCAGAGAUAUGAUUUCCAAGGCUAGGCUGGAGGGGAGCAUCUGAGAGUGCUUGUUUCGAUUUUGGAGUGUCUGUGGUGGAAGGCGUAUGUGAAAAGGCUUUUAGUGUUUCCUCAUCAGGAGGAAACUGCUCGUGUAUUAACGCAGAGACUGGGUGCACUUCGGUGGGCAAGCAUAGAUUUUCUGGGAACAAUGGACAGGAGAGGAUUGCUGGUGUUGCCUUACAGAUUUCAUUCUGGGAAAGAAGUAAUAUUUGAAGCAGUGAAGGGAGGAGUGCUAUGAGGAGCUGGAGCCAGACGUACCACGCCAG
ensembl:lncRNA